UUUGCUUGUUGCUACUACUAGGUUCUUUUCCUCAUUACUAAGAGUCCUUCCUUUCUCUAAGAUACAACAGAUUUGGCGACGAGUUUGAGAUUACCCAAAACUACUAAGAAUAUCUGUCUAUUACUAUAAUGGAGAAAGCUGCUUAUUAAUUAGACUGCCAGUUUUAAAUCACUUUUUGGUAAACAAACCAGGCUGGAAAUUUAUAAUAAACAGAAGACGGAAAAUCAAGUCAUGAUGGACACCAUUCUGCACAUAAAAUUCUGAUCUAGUCACUGGACCACAGGCCAUGCUGGAGCAAUACCUUGAAGUGUUUUAGUCAAAUGAAUCAGCCCCAGGAUUUUUAAGUAUCAGGCUUAAA